CAAACACACGGCGUAAUCAGUAGCAUCCGGGGGUCUCUGUCUGGGCAUUUUGCAUUUCAUAGACUAUAAUAAUAUGCCUUAGAGGCAUCGGGGUGCGAUAAUCCUCAGCACAGGCGCACAGAGAGAGCGAGGAGUAUCGCAUCCUGUCAUUUUCACCAUGUGUUCUUCACUCUAAUUGGCGUCCUGCUGCUCAUUGCAGAGGCAGCCUGAUUGAGCAAUGAGCCGGUGACUCUCGCGAUGGCCGAAAGCGCGUCUAUAGCCACAGGAUCGCGUGUUAUACCUAACGACAUUUUAUUUCACUCGGCGCUCCCGUUCCGUUUCCUCAUCUCCUACCAGUCUUCUUAUUAUCUAAUUCCACACAGCUGAACGAACAAGCGUGAAUCUGCAUAAAUUCCACGUACGGUUUAUUUAUUUAUUUUUUAUUUUUUAUUUUUUCCUUUUGUGUAUGCGCACACAAUCACGUCGAUUUGUUUGCCAUGGUUUCGUUAAUACAUAUUUAUAUGCAGAUGAAGACAUUAAGCUACCAUUAGCUCAAUCACAACAGCUCAUUCACACGAGGGCUCAAGCCGUGUAACAAGCAUUCAGCUUCCAUUAUACACCCUGUUUAAAAGUCUCUCAAAGUUUUCUGAUUUGCUAACUUUUUUUAAGCGAGAGAAUAAGCAUGUAUUCGUUUUGAGGAGCUGUCUUAAAAAUAGCAGCGUUCAAGCAUCCUGUAUAGGAGAUUCAGUCCUUCAUACACAAUGCAUCGGAGUUAUUUUCGAGCUUAUGUAAUCUGAAGUGCAGGUUUGGGACUAAAUGUUUCCAUUCUGUCAACUGAGACAUGUCUCUCUGCCAGAGAUUUUGCUGAUCAUGCUUUCAGGAUUUUACGUCGCGAAUCAUCCACGUUAAGUUUGAGCGGUUCAACAGUCGGAGAAUAAGAGGUGAAGUGUUAGUCUGGUAUUCGUUAAAUAUUCACGUGUAGAGAGGAAAAAGGCGAGCAGAGGUGCAGGAAGAUAUCUUGGUUUGGCAACUUUUCAAAGCAGCCUUUCCACUAGCUUUAUUUUCAUCAUGUUUGUCUUAAUCGGUUUAAUCCUCAUCAGGCUUGACAUUUCAUGUAAAUUCAAUUUGACGAUCGAACACUCGGAUAUUAGUCCGUUUUUAUAAGUUGUUUUAAAUCUCUGUGUGUGUGUGUGUGUGUGUUAACCAAUCAAGCAUAUCAUAGGCUUAGUGAGUCGCCUGACAGCUCUGGGGUUGGGGGUUCGAAUCUCAUCCCCGCCCUGUGUGUGUGUAGAGUUUGCAUGUUCUCUCCGUGCUUUGGCGGUUGCCUCCGGGUACUCUGGUUUCCUCCUGUACCCCAAAGAUAGGCAUUUCUAAAUUGUCUGUAGUGUGUGAACGUGUGUGCGGUUGUGCCCUGCGAUGGAUUGGCACCCCAUCCAGGGUGUCCCCUGCCUUGUGCACCGAGUUCCUUGGGGUAGGCUCCAGGCUCCUUGCGACCCUGUGUAGGAUAAGCGGUACGGAAGAUGGAUGGAUGGAUGUCAUGCUAUUCCUAUGGUGCCUUUUAUUGCUUAGGUGUUUGGGACAUUUAGGUUUAGGGUUUAGCGUUCGUCUGAUAUUAGUAGGGUUAUGUAAUAUUAUUAAUGAUGGUAAAUUCCAUAAAUAUCCAUAUAAACGGAAGUGCUAUGCUAAUACGGUCUUUUAACAUAACCCAGACAGAAUGGAUGUUGCUACCUAGCUUUCAGGAGUAAACAGUAAGGAAGUACUGGAAGCAAUGGUUUGCUUUAAAACACUGACUGUUAGCUGUAAAGCCAAACAUGGACAUCCACCUGCCUGAAGACACUUGCUUAUCAAACCCAGAUCUGUACUACGUUCCUGACUUGACCCCCACUAUUCCUUAAGGAUGACGUGAAUCAAGGCUCUCCUCUGUCCUCGCACCCCGACGGUGGAACGAACUUCCCCUGGCUGUCUGAACAGCUGAGUCACUAUCUGUCUUCAAACGAAGACUCAAGACCCACCUCUUUAACUAGAACUUAAGCAACACAAAAAAAAAAAAAGACUUGUAUUGCUUUCUUGCCAUACUAUCUCAAUGUACACUGUCCUCUCGAACAGCUUGAUAUUCCUAGCUCCUGAUCCAUUUGUACUAGAUUGAGGAUAUGUUUUUGACGGGCUCUAUAAAACAUUCUUGUAAGCCAGUCCGCAUAAAGGCUACGUAAACGUAUUGGCCACGGGAGCUCGCUCAACAUGCCGUAGGUUGAGUCAGCGCUUUGCGAGGAUGUUUGGAAAUUGACGCAUUAACAUUGAGAAGUCGGAACGUGGAAGUCCGAUAUCAUGUUCGGACGCUGUGGUGGCAGCCAGCCGACUGUAGGGAGUGUAACGUGUCACUUAGUGUGCUUUCUACCACUUAGCAGACCACAGGCUUAGGCUUUUUAAGUAGAUUAAGAUUUAAGUACAUUUUUAAAAAUUUGAUCCGUUCCAAAUUGGCGGCUGGGAAAAGUACUUUGAUGGCUCGUCUUAAGCUUACAGUGCCAGUGAACUUCCACUGUUAUUUAAUUGAUGUUGUAUGCUGGAUUUAGACUUACUUAUGUAUUUCUGUCCACAACAGCAUUAGUGAGAUCAGUAACUGAUGUUGUGUGAGGACGUCUGGGGUGCAGGCGGUGUUCCAGUUCAUCCCAAAGGUGUUCAGUGGUGUCGAGGUCAGGGUUCUGUUCAGGACACUCAAGUUCUUCCACUCAAUCCUUCUCAAACCAUGUCUUCAUGGAGCUCGCUUUGUGCACAGGUUUGAGCCUCUUAGUGCCAGUGAAGGGAAAAUGAAGAGACAUUCUCUGUUAUUGUGUGCUUUGAGGUAACAGUUUGGGAAAGAAGCACAUGGGUGUGAUGUUCAGGUGUCCACAAGCGUCUGGAAGCUGGUAAGGAAUGUAAAUACGGACUCACUAAUGGUUCCUUGGAGAUGAAAAGGUUAAUGAGUGAUGCACUGCACAGCGGAUCGUGUCACUGCCUGACAGCCCCAGACUCCUUGUUAAUUCCUGAGCUCCGGUUACUGAUGACGCAGAGUUUCAUGCGUCUGUCUGGGUCUCCUCCAGGUGUUCUGGUUUCCUCCCCGAGUGUGUGAAUGUGUAUGUGCAUGGUGGCCACGUGCUUUUUUUUUUUUCAUCGGACAUGGGCACUCUGAGCGGUCUGCAGCUACGCAGCCCCAUACACAGCAAGCUGUGAUGCGCUGUGUGUUCUGACAACGUUCUAUCAGAGCCAGCAUUAACCUCUUCAGCAAUUUGUGCUACAGUAG
ensembl:lncRNA